AUCCCAUCUUUCCUUCUUUAUCUCUCUAAAAAUCGCCAAUUUCCCCCCUCUCUCUCUAAAAUAUUGUUUAUUAUUUAUUUAAUAAAUAAUAAUAAGGUUCUGCCUCGUUUUAAGUGUUUUAACUCCCGAUCACCGCUACCCUUUCCGAUUGAUCUGAGUCCCAUAACGCAUGUCAAGGCUCUGCCCGACUAAGUUCGUUUGGAUUCGGUCUCGGACAUCGAGAUAAGGUUGAAUAAGGGGUACUAUACUUAACACGAGUGCAUUAUAUAUUUUUAUAGUUCAAAAGUUAUACCCAAAAUUUAUACCAAGAGAUUUUCUAGUUGAACCCUAAAGUUACACAGUGGGUCCAUUCUCUUUUCUCACUGUUUUAUUCUCUUUUUAUGAUUUACCCAAAACUAUUAUUUAUUAUUUCUAUUUUGUAAACAACUUUCAUCAAAAGUCAUGCCUAUUAUUUUAUUUACCCAAUAGGGAACCAUAGUUGAAACACCCAAGUAAUCCUGCACAACUCCUAAAAUUUUCAUAGCAAUCAGAAUCAGGAUCAGGGCCCCUAAAACUCGGGGGGGUAUUCCCCACUUGACGAUUAUCCUUAUAACUUGCUGUCUAAAUUGAAAUUAUUCGUUCCAUCGACUCAGCUAGCCUACUGCCACACGCGGCAAACCUAUGGUCAUUACGUGUCCCUUACGGACCAUAAGGGAUAAGGCUUACGGUCCGUAAGCCUGUCAAAUUUCGUGUAUAAAUAGCAGGCAUCGGCACUUGCAGUUUGCUGUUCAUUCGACGAUUAAAUUUCGAUUAUACACCGAGUUAUCGUCCAAAUACUCUAAAAACACACACGCGAAUCACUAAUUAGUAUAGCAGGGUGCUGCUACGAUACAGGGUAUUAACUCGAUCGCUGUUACGAUUCAUUUUCCAACCGAUCAAUAUAUCCAAUGGAUGUUUAAGUGCCGCCCACGAUAGGGUUAUACUUUGUCGUUCGUCGUUAAAUCGAUGGAUGUUUAAGUAUCGCACUUUGUCGUUCGUUGUUACAAGGCUAAAUCAAUAGGCUAAGCUCUGCCUGUAUAAAUCUGCAAUAUAUCAAGACUUAUCUGUAGACUAAACUUUGGCCGUAUGAAUCUGCAUGAUUAUAAUGUGAGUCAUUCUCUUUUUAUCUACUGUUUUACAAUACUCCAAAUUAUUUUCAGAAUUAUAAUUACAGUGAUUAAGUUUAUGUAAUCACCAAAUUACAGCCAGUAUGUGGGGUAUUGUGCACAUUACUACAGUUUUAAUCACAUUAGGUGGGCGAACCUAAAAUUAAGUGAUAUACGUCAUUCAUUGGGGCAGCCAAUGGUGAUAUGACCACAGUCACAGAUCCGGUCGAGUGACAAAUACUGUGGGUAGUUGGUAGAUAAUAAACAUAUGUAAAAGCUCUUAAUACUGUAAAUUAUAACAAACGAGUCGUUUUAGUAAACUGAAUGAUUCACUCAGUAUUUCCCGCUGACAAAACCUUUUUAAAACGCGUUUCAGGUAAUUACAGUAGAUUGGAGUAAGGAUUGGAUCCGGCACUAAAAGACUUCAAGAAGUGGCUUAUUUUAUUAAUUAAAUCAAAUUAAGAAAUAUUGUUUUUAUUAAAAGCUACCUUUGUAACAAUGGAAUUUAUUCCAUCUAUUUAAAUAAAAUUCGGUGUUUCUAAACUCUAAUAUUUUUUUUCCUAACUCACGGUCCUGAUGAAAAUUCCGCUGCAAUGUUUUUCAAAAAUAAUCACCGGUACCACUGGACUGCUCGCGGCUUCCGAUUCCUGCCAGGAUGGGGUCGGGGGUCGUGACAGUAAAGGUGGUAUCAGAGCCACUGCUUUAAGCCUAUAAGUGUUGUGAUAAUAAUACUUAAGCUUAAAUAAAAACAGUUAGGAGAUUACUGUUAAAUGGUAGCACAGCCGAUAGCAGUUAGACUUGAACAUAAGAAAAGAUGCCUUAAUAUAAGCUAAGCUACUUGUUUACACAAUUAGGUGUUAUAAUAAUACCUAAGUUUAAACGGAAAAUUAGAAGCUUAAUAUUAUCUGAUAGCAUUCCGGAUGAUAUUUAGACUUGAACUUAAGAUUUUUGCCUUAAAUAAAUUUUAAGGUAAAUUACUUAUAUAAGUACAAUGUAAUGGAUAUUGGUAUUCCAUAAAAAUGACGAUUAGCAGGCAAUAGCACGUAAUUGCUUCUUGCUUAUUGAUAUUAUUUGGUCGAGAAUAAGAUAUGUUAGGGAAGUACAAAUUUCCUUGAUUCUGGAUAAAAGUCCUAAUAAAAGAGGCACUUUUAAAAAAAUCUUGAAAAGAUACUAUUUAUGGGAAAUAGAAAAUUUUCUCCGGCAAAACUGGGUAUAGAGUAGCAGACUCUCCAGCUUGUCUGGAUAUACUGAAGUUACCUCUCCGGCGCGAACCGGAUAAGACGGGGUAAAUAAUAUGUCAAAUCAGUGACAAGACUACCCUAAAUAAAAUCAUGACCAGAUAUUUGACUUGUUUUUUGGAGAUAUGAAUCUGCUAAAUACAUUGAUCUUAUAGAAGGUAUGUAUAUUACAGCAUGUGAAAUAUAUAAUUAUAUAGAUAUGUAUAUCUAUAAGGAAUUCCAAAAGUCGAUUAGGAAUAAAACACAAGCAUAUGUGUCUAGAUUUCUUUAUUAGGAAUCUCUUUUCCGAUAUCAAACAUUAUUUCGUUUGAUCAUCUGUCUCGUAGUUCGUGUGACAAAAUAAAUAAAUUCGAACACCAUAAAAAAUAUAAGAAUUACCAAUGCGUUAUCAUAAACUAUUAACACAAGUAAGAAACAUCUAAAGUUGUGCUGAUGCACAAGAAAACACAUAAAACUUAAAUUAUAUAUAUCCACGGACAUCGAAGUUUAUCACACAUGACUUCCAAGGCAAAGACCUUUGGAAAAUAUAAAUUAGGCACGAUGACACCAAUACUAAUUC
rnacentral:lncRNA from 1 species